rnacentral:snRNA from 1 species
UCCUCUACGCCUAGGACACCAGAAUA